rnacentral:rRNA from 1 species
UACAGAGGGUGCAAGCGUUGUUCGGAAUUAUUGGGCGUAAAGCGCGUGUAGGCGGCUUUGCAAGUCGGGUGUGAAAGCCCUCAGCUUAACUGAGGAAGUGCGCCCGAAACUGCAUUGCUUGAGUACCGGAGAGGAUGGCGGAAUUCCCGAAGUAGAGGUGAAAUUCGUAGAUAUCAGGAGGAACACCGGUGGCGAAGGCGGCUCUCUGGUCCACAACUGACGCUGAGGUGCGAAAGCUAGGGGAGCAAACGGG